rnacentral:rRNA from 1 species
UAGGAAGGCAGCAGUGGGGAAUAUUGCACAAUGGGCGAAAGCCUGAUGCAGCUAUGCCGCGUGUAUGAAGAAGGCCUUAGGGUUGUAAAGUACUUUCAUCGGGGAGGAAAAAACAAAACUAAUAAUUUUAUUUCUUGACGUUACCCGAAAAAGAAGCACCGGCUAACUCCGUGCCAGCAGCCGCGGUAAUACGGAGGGUGCUAGCGUUAAUCAGAAUUACUGGGCGUAAAGAGCACGUAGGUGGUUUUUUUAAAGUUCAGAUGUGAAAUCCCUGGGCUUUAACCUAGGAACUGCAUUUUGAAACUGAAAUACUAGAGUAUCGUAGAGGGAGGUAGAAUUCUAGGUGUAGCGGUGAAAUGCGUAGAUAUCUGGAGGAAUACCUGUGGCGAAAGCGGCCUCCUAAACGAAUACUGACACUGAGGGUGCGAAAAGCGUGGGGAGCAAAACAGGGAUUAGAUACC